rnacentral:tRNA from 1 species
GCGAAUAUAGUGUAGUUGGCUAACACAUUAGAUUUCCAAUCUGAUAACAUCGGUUCGAGUCCGAUUAUUCGCU